GUGUCAGCCGCCGCGGUAAUACGUAGGGACCUAGCGUUGUCCGGAAUCAUUGGGCGUAAAGCGCGCGUAGGCGGCCCGGUAAGUCCGUUGUAAAAGUCGAAGGCUCAACCUUCGAAAGCCGAUGGAUACUGCCGGGCUAGAGUCCGGAAGAGGCGAGUAGAAUUCCUGGUGUAGCGGUGGAAUGCGCAGAUAUCAGGAGGAAUACCCAUAGCGAAGGCAGCUCGCUGGGACGGUACUGACGCUGAGGCGCGAAAGCGUGGGGAGCGAACAGGAUUAGAUACCCCCGUAGUCC
rnacentral:rRNA from 1 species